GGGGAAUAUUGGACAAUGGGGGCAACCCUGAUCCAGCAAUGCCGCGUGUGUGAAGAAGGUCUUCGGAUUGUAAAGCACUUUCGACGGGGACGAUGAUGACGGUACCCGUAGAAGAAGCCCCGGCUAACUUCGUGCCAGCAGCCGCGGUAAUACGAAGGGGGCUAGCGUUGCUCGGAAUGACUGGGCGUAAAGGGCGUGUAGGCGGUUUACACAGUCAGAUGUGAAAUCCCCGGGCUUAACCUGGGAGCUGCAUUUGAUACGUGUAGACUAGAGUGUGAGAGAGGGUUGUGGAAUUCCCAGUGUAGAGGUGAAAUUCGUAGAUAUUGGGAAGAACACCGGUGGCGAAGGCGGCAACCUGGCUCAUGACUGACGCUGAGGCGCGAAAGCGUGGGGAGCAAACAGGAUUAGAUACCCUGGUAGUCCACGCUGUAAACGAUGUGUGCUAGAUGUUGGGUAACUUUGUUAUUCAGUGUCGCAGUUAACGCGU
rnacentral:rRNA from 1 species